AUGGCUUUGCGGAGUGGCUUCUUCACGUACUCAGCGUGAACUCCUCGCUUCGUUGAGAAGCGCGCAAAUGAUUGAGAGAGGCGGAGGGCUGGAGUGUGAGGCGCCUGCAGUGCAACCGUAAGGCAAGCCUGAUUCGUCAUGCGGCUCUUCUUGGCCCUGUGUUUCUGUUUGCUGGCUUGGGCGAAGACGACGUCAGCAAGCACAAAAUACUUUCUGACAUGUCCUGGCUUCCUAACAAGGGGCACCAAUGCAGAGUGUUACUUCGUACUGCCGUGUAACUGUAACGGCGGAUAUUUUGUGCUGCAACUUUUCGCCCGGUCGAAUAUCGAUAACGGCACUGAUACCCUGUUGCAAGGAAGGAAGUACACAGUGGGCA